rnacentral:rRNA from 1 species
UACGUAGGGGGCAAGCGUUGUCCGGAAUUAUUGGGCGUAAAGCGCGCGCAGGCGGUGAUUUAAGUCUGGUGUUUAAUCCUUGAGCUCAACUUGGGGACGCAUUGGAAACUGGGUUACUGGAGUGUAGGAGAGGAAAGUGGAAUUCCACGUGUAGCGGUGAAAUGCGUAGAUAUGUGGAGGAACACCAGUGGCGAAGGCGACUUUCUGGCCUAUAACUGACGCUGAGGCGCGAAAGCGUGGGGAGCAAACAGG